GACGAACGCUGGCGGCGUGCUUAACACAUGCAAGUCGAGCGGAAAGGCUCUUCGGGGUUCUCGAGCUGCGAACGGGUGAGUAACACGUGAGUAACCUGCCCCAGACUUUGGGAUAACCCUCGGAAACGGGGGCUAAUACCGGAUACGACACGGCUGCGCUACGGGACUGUGUGGAAAGAUCUUCGGGUUGGGAUGGGCUCGCUGCCUAUCAGCUUGAUGGUCGGGUGAUGGCAUACCAAGGCGACGAGGGGUCGGCGGCCUGAGAGGGCGACCUGCCACACUGGGACUGGGACACGGCCCAGACUCGUACGGGAGGGAGCAGUGGAGAAUAUUGCACAGUGGGCGGAAGCCUGAUGCAGCGACGCCGCGUGGGGGAUGUCGGCCAUCGGGUUGUAAACCUCUGUCAGCAGGGACGAAGCGUAAGUGACGGUACCUGCAGAAGAAGCGCCGGCCAACUACGUG
rnacentral:rRNA from 1 species